rnacentral:ncRNA from 1 species
AAAACACUUCGCUCUGAUGCCAGAUUAACUAUAACCUUUAAACUUCAUAUGGUAACCUACAUUUUUUGUGGAAAUAUUCUUCACUAGGAAAACGUUAAACACUUUAACCUCCUACGCCCAAGAAAAGACGGGUUACACCCAAAGCACUUGCCCACAACACCAAUGAACUAUUUUGUGCUCAAAGCUAGAAAACUAGGCCACAGAAAUGGUUAAAUAGAGUGACUAAAUAGGGUGCCAGCAGUCGCGGUUACACCCAACCUCAAAGUUAAUCCCUCCAAACUAAAGGAAGACAAUCCGCCAACUGACUUCAAUCUUGUAAGCAAAAGUGAAAUUUGCACUUACAUAAGUACACCCAAAAAAGUCUCCAUCUUGUCUUCCAACAAACCACAGCACAAAACAGGGAUUAGAUACCCCACUAUUGUGUGGCACAACACUGAAAAGACUAAAAACGAAAGUUCCAAACUUAAAGAGCGUGGCGGUGUUCUACACCUUAUUAGGGGAUCCUGUAGCUUAAUUCGAUAAUCCACGAACACCAAAGCUUUAUUAGCACACAGCUUAUGUAUGGCCGUUUUAUGUCUGCAUAUCAAUAUACUAAUAGGAGACAACAAAAGUUUAACACACUUAAUAUCACAGGUGACAUAUAGCCCAUAUAAAGCAGCCCAUGGGAUACAAAUAAACACAAUUAACCUAAACAAAAUGACAACUUUCAUCAAGGGAGGACUUAAAAGUAAGGUUGCAACAUUAAUCCAACCUGAACGAGAUCUAGAACGCGUACAAAUCGCCCGUCACUCCCGCCCUAAAUCGGGAUAAGUCGUAACACAGUAGGGGUAACGGAAGUUGUCCCUAUACA